UGCUCCUGUCUUCUGCUCCUCUAGUGAGCCAUUCCUCUCCCUUGGAAUUCAUCAGAGUCAUCCCUGUAGAGCCCCCUUCCUGCCUCUCAAUUCCUCCUGCCUCACUUCCCAGGCUACUGCUGCUUCAAGACAGUGACGUUUCUCUCCGGUCAGCUGUCAGGAGCGCUGGUGAGCUUCCUACUGUGCCACAAGGUGCGGGUGCUGGAGACACAGCUGAGCCUGGAAAUGAGAGUGGGCAUCGCCGUGGUCAUCAUGACUCCUCUGCGGCGUGGUCACCAUGUUGGUUCACUGUGUUGGGCUCUUAUUGACGGGUCUCCUGCUAGGCCUGACCUUGGGUGCCGGAGCCCUGCUGGCUUCUGAGCCUAUCUACCAACCACCUUCAGCCUGGGUGCCAGCUGGGGGGCUGGUGGGGCUGGCGCUGCUGGGAGCCCUGCUCACACUUCGGUGGCCACGUCCAUUCACAGUUCUGGGCACAACCCUGCUGGGUUCUGCAGUGCUUGUGGCCUGUGUUGACUACUUCCUGGAGGGGCUGGCACUGGGGAGUUGGCUGGGCCAACGCCUGCAGACACUUCCAGCCUUGCCUUCUCUCUGCUGAUAUAGCUGGGUCUUACUGGGGAUCUGGCCAGCCUUGGGGGCCCUUGGAGCCCUGGCCCAGUGGAAGCUCGUGCCUGAGGAACAUGGAGGCCACGCUAAUGAGUUACUUCCAGAGUCUUCAAGAGUGCCAACUGGGACCAGGACCCCAGACCACAGCCCCCCACACCGUCCUGGACCUGGAUUCUGACUGUGGUUCCACUGUACCCCUCACCUUAAUCUCUGGUUCUAACCAGACCUGAGCCUAGACUUCCACUUUUUCCCUUACCCCUGUGAGGGCCUGGGAACACUAGGUGGGCAGGGUUUGAGCCCACAGGACCUGCACACAAACUUCCCCACCUCUUGGACUUGGGGACAGGAUCUGUGCCUCAACCCAGACCAGCUUUGUAGGGAUAUGUUCCAAGAACAGAGAAGAGUCUUAUGGGGAAGGGGGAGGAAGGGAAGUAUGAAUAUUUACCUCUGACCAAUAAUAGAGGUGCCCUGGUCCCCAAAGAAAUUGACUCCCGAAUUCCCUCCAAGCCUUACCCAUAUAGCUUUUGUUUGUUUGUUUGUUUUCAGACAAGGUCUUGUUCUGUCCAGUGCCGUGGCGUGACCACAGCUCAUGACAACUUUGAUUUCCCCGGCCCAAGCGAGCCUCUCAUUCAGCCUCCUGAGUGGCUGGGACCACAGACGCCACACACAGCUAAUUUUUAUGUAUUCGUUUUUAUUUUUUUGCAGAGACAGGGUCUCCCUAUGUUGCCCAAGCUGGUCUUGAACUCCUGGGCUCAAGUGAUCCUCCUGCUUCAGCCUCCCAAAGUGCUAGGAUUAUAGCCACCGCACCUCGUCUUGAAAUAGCCUUUUAAAUGUUCACCUCAGCUUGCCUCACAGUGGGUCUGUUCCUGGUUUCCCAGAUGCAUAAAGGAAGACAUAUCCCUCCCCUGGGCAGCAAGGCUACAAUGGGAGGGAGGGAGAACAUGGGAGCAUGUGAAUAAAAUGGCAUUAAAUACUGAA
rnacentral:lncRNA from 10 species